UGGGUUACCUGUGGAGUGAAAUUAUGGGAUAGAAGCACAUGGUCGAGAGCGGAGAGAAGGGAGGUUGGCGGGCAAAUGGUCGAACCCUUUAUGAUCCUUUAUGACCCUUUAUGAUCCUUUAUGAUCCCUUUGAUUCCMAUUUGKGAUCCCUUUUUUAUUGUUGAUCAAUGUAAAUCGAUGUAAACAAGAAAAGGUUAAAGUAAAGUUUAAGAUUGUUGAUCAGAAAGGUGUUAUUCGUCGAUCAAACCGCUCGCCGAACGCAAACAACGUCACAUUACUUUUAUCUUAAUUGACAACAAUUAUCAUCGUUUUAGUGCAAGUUAUGAUUUUUUGACAAAAUUUUCAUGUGUUAAGUCGUGUAAUAAUAUUAUGUGGCUUUCGUGAAUUUAUACGAUUCAAAAUUAUAAAAAAGAUUAUGAAUAUUAUAGUUAUUGUACUUAAGAAAUGGCGAACUUCAAGAGAGGAAAAGACUCGAAAGAAAGACAACACCUUCACUUGAAGACUGGACAGUUCAUUGUUUGAACAGGCCCCGGAACAACAACUAUGUGUAGGUAAAUAUUUAUUUUUAUUCUGGAUGUGAACUUUAAUAUACUACAAAGUAAUUAUAUCUGGAGGAAGGAUCAAAGAUUUACCUUAAUACACUCGCCCUUGUAGACAGCUUUAGACGAUUUGAAGACCAGAAAACGUAGGGAAAGGUUUUGUUUUUCACUGGUUCUUAUGAAGGGCGCUUUUCAAUUAGUUAAGAAGAGGAAUUGUUCCGUCUUUUCUUAUACCAAAAAAAUCAUUAUUUUGUCCCCAUAACAAAUCCUCUAUGCAAGGGGGGACUUAAAGGGGCCUAUAAAGAAGGAAUUUUUAAUCAGCUGCUUAAGUAAUCAGAUAAUUAAGUUUUUAUUUUUAUAUCCAAAAAAAAAAAAAAAAAAAAAUCGUUAAAUCACAACGAAAUUCUACCUUUUUUUAUCAUAUUUACAACUUUCUUAGUUUUUGAUACCAUUGAUUAACGUUACAGUAAAACCCUUGGAAUAAAAAUAAAA